rfam:Daucus carota subsp. sativus cultivar DH1 chromosome 6, whole genome shotgun sequence.
CGCAAUCUAUGAUGAAUGUAUGUUCUAUAACAAAAUGAGUUAAUCCUGUGAUUAAUAUUAAAUAUAUCACCAUCUUUCGGCUGAGAUUGCA